GUUGUCGUGAGGCGGGGUGGAGAGCAAGGCAAGGCGAAGCAGCAGUCCGUAGGAUGACGAACUCGAUUCGGCUUUAUAGUACUGGCGAGCCUGCGAUCGCGUGGCGAAGCUUGGAACGGAAUGAAAAUAAUAAUAAUAAGGAGUAAUUCUGAAGAUCCUCUAUGCUGAAUAUCAGCGAGUAGCAAAGCAGUAGAGGAAGUCUAUAGAGUGGUUGGAGACGGAAUGCGGUGAAGGUUGUGUGA
rfam:Lentisphaera araneosa HTCC2155 1101329224577, whole genome shotgun sequence.